AAGUCGUAACAAGGUUUCCGUAGGUGAACCUGCGGAAGGAUCAUUAGGAAUGAAUGGAGCAGGGGGAGAAGGAGGGCAGCGGGGGCGCCUGCAACCGCUGCCGCCCACCUCUACCUGCCUACCCACUCACUCACUCACCUUGUGCACUGUCCUGUCUUGUGGCCGCAGCACGGCCUGGUCUGGGGCGCGCGUGCUGCCUACGCGGCGCACACGCUGCAGACACGGUCGCGGCCACACUAGAUAUCCACCCACAUUACGUACAUACAUACAUACCUAACCACUCGACUAUGCAACGAGGGCGGCGCGCGCUACUGCCUGCCGCCCGGCCAGGAUUCAUUGACAACUUUUAGCAACGGAUCUCUAGGCUCUU
rnacentral:misc_RNA from 1 species